rnacentral:other from 1 species
UACACCCUGCUGUGUACGUGAAUCACGGUGAAGCUUGAGCCCAACACCGUGAGAAAGGGAGCCUGAACUCUCGUGGGUGGAGCGCAGGUCGCUUCGAGCGAAAGCGCAGAUACCCAGAGGAGGGCACCCACCUGCUGAGGGCAGGUUCAUGCCUUCCGGGUUCACGGCAUGGCGGGGUCUAA